UACGAAGGGGGCUAGCGUUGUUCGGAAUGACUGGGCGUAAAGGGUGUGUAGGCGGCCAUACACGUCAGGUGUGAAAUCCCCGGGCUUAACCUGGGAACUGCAUUUGAUACGGUAAGGCUAGAGAUUGGUAGAGGGUAGAGGAAUUGCGAGUGUAGAGGUGAAAUUCGUAGAGAUUCGCAGGAACACCGGUGGCGAAGGCGGCUACCUGGGCCAAUACUGACGCUGAAGCACGAAAGCGUGGGGAGCAAACAGG
rnacentral:rRNA from 1 species